AACGAACGCUGGCGGCAGGCCUAACACAUGCAAGUCGAGCGCGCCCUUCGGGGUGAGCGGCGGACGGGUGAGUAACGCGUGGGAACGUGCCCUUUUCUACGGAAUAGCCUCGGGAAACUGAGAGUAAUACCGUAUACGCCCUUUGGGGGAAAGAUUUAUCGGAAAAGGAUCGGCCCGCGUUGGAUUAGGUAGUUGGUGGGGUAAUGGCCUACCAAGCCGACGAUCUAUAGCUGGUUUGAGAGGAUGAUCAGCCACACUGGGACUGAGACACGGCCCAGACUCCUACGGGAGGCAGCAGUGGGGAAUCUUAGACAAUGGGGGCAACCCUGAUCUAGCCAUGCCGCGUGAGUGAUGAAGGCCUUAGGGUUGUAAAGCUCUUUCAGCUGGGAAGAUAAUGACGGUACCAGCAGAAGAAGCCCCGGCUAACUCCGUG
rnacentral:rRNA from 1 species